rnacentral:rRNA from 1 species
GACGAACCGUGCAAACGUUGUUCGGAAUCACUGGGCUUAAAGGGCGCGUAGGCGGGCGGUCAAGUCAGGGGUGAAAUCUUUCGGCUCAACCGGAAAAGUGCCCUUGAUACUGACGGUCUGGAGGGAGGUAGGGGCGUGCGGAACUUCCGGUGGAGCGGUGAAAUGCGUAGAUAUCGGAAGGAACACCGGUGGCGAAAGCGGCGCGCUGGACCUCUACUGACGCUGAGGCGCGAAAGCGUGGGGAGCGAACAGG